UGACGCAGCGGAGGCCUACACAUGCAAGUCGAGGGGUAGAGUUCUUCGGGACUUGAGACCGGCGCACGGGUGCGUAACGCGUAUGCAAUCUACCUUAUACAGGGGAAUAGCCCAGAGAAAUUUGGAUUAAUGCCCCAUAGUGUUAUCGAAUCGCAUGGUUUGAUAACUAAAGUUCCAACGGUAUAAGAUGAGCAUGCGUCCCAUUAGUUAGUUGGUAAGGUAACGGCUUACCAAGACAAUGAUGGGUAGGGGUCCUGAGAGGGAGAUCCCCCACACUGGUACUGAGACACGGACCAGACUCCUACGGGAGGCAGCAGUGAGGAAUAUUGGUCAAUGGGCGCAAGCCUGAACCAGCCAUGCCGCGUGCAGGAAGACGGUCCUAU
rnacentral:rRNA from 1 species